rnacentral:lncRNA from 1 species
UGGCGGCGUAGCGGGCGAGCCCCCAUGCGGCCUCCUUGACGGCGAGCUCGGAUGGCCCGUUGGGGAUGCUGACGACGGUGCGCCACUUGGCGAAUCGGGCGCCCUGCUGGUAGUAGGCGGCCUCGCGGGCGGCGAGGCCGUCGAGGCCCUGGCACCAGGACUCGUCGUUGGAGCCGGCGAGCGGGACGAGGCCCUUGUCGACCUUGAUCCCGGGCACGAUGCCCUGCUCGGUGAGGAUGUCGACGAUCCGGCGGCCGUCGACGGCGGACUGGUAGAGCGUCUCCUCGAAAAGGAUGGCGCCGGAGAUGUAGUUGCCCAGCCCCGGCGCGGUGACCAGCAGCGUCCUGUACGCCUGCCGGUUGGCCUCCGUGUUCUCCAGCCCGAUGGAUGCCAGCCGCUUCCCGCACGUCGCGUUCGACUCGUCCAUGGCCAGGAUGCCGCGCCCAGGCGACGCGAUCGUUUUCUGCAACUCACCAUGUCAUCAUUAUUUCUUUCAGCAAGCAAGAUGGCGAUAGUGACAGUUUCGAUCGGCCACUAGUGAAGAAACGACGAACGCACCGCUGUCUUGACGAGCUCAUCGGCGUAGGCGCUGGCGCGGACGACCACGGAGACGGUGACCGGCCGGGGCGCGGUGAGCUGCCUGGCGGCGCCCCAUUCCGACUUCUUGGGAAGGAAGGAGGACUUGAGCAGGGUAGCAGAGGCCAUCUUCUUCUUCCUCGAUGCUCUUGCUGUCUUCUGAAGUUCAGCUCAGCUCAGGCUGGCAGUGGCCUCAGGUUCACACCAGUGAACAACGAAUGGAGUGUCUC